CCUACGGGAGGCAGCAGUGAGGAAUAUUGGUCAAUGGCCGUAAGGCUGAACCAGCCAAGUCGCGUGAAGGAAGAAGGAUCUAUGGUUUGUAAACUUCUUUUAUAGGGGAAUAAAGGUAUCCACGUGUGGAUAGUUGCAUGUACCAUAUGAAUAAGCAUCGGCUAACGCCGUGCCAGCAGCCGCGGUAAUACGGAGGAUGCGAGCGUUAUCCGGAUUUAUUGGGUUUAAAGGGUGCGUAGGUUGUUUUUUAAGUCAGCGGUGAAAGUUUGUGGCUCAACCAUAAAAUUGCCGUUGAAACUGGCAGCCUUGAGUGUUUUUCAGGUAGGCGGACUGCGUGUUGUAGCGGUGACAUUCAUAGAUAUCACGCAGAACUCCGAUUGCGAAGGCAGCUUACUAAGGCAUACCUGACACUGACGCACGAAAGCGUGGGGCUCAAACAGGAUUAGAUACCCCAGUAGUC
rnacentral:rRNA from 1 species